UACGAAGGUCCCAAGCGUUGUUCGGAUUUACUGGGCGUAAAGCGUCUGUAGGCGGGAUGGUAAGUCAGAUGUGAAAUCCCGGGGCUCAACCCCGGAACUGCAUCCGAUACUGCCAACCUAGAGGGUCGGAGGGGAGUCUGGAAUUCUCGGUGUAGCAGUGAAAUGCGUAGAUAUCGAGAGGAACACUAGUGGCGAAGGCG
rnacentral:rRNA from 1 species